CGUAGGGUGCAAGCGUUGUCCGGAAUUAUUGGGCGUAAAGAGCUCGUAGGCGGUCUGUCGCGUCGGCUGUGAAAACUCGGGGGCUCAACCCCGAGCCUGCAGUCGAUACGGGCAGACUAGAGUGCUGUAGGGGAGGACUGGAAUUCCUGGUGUAGCGGUGAAAAUGCGCAGAUAUCAGGAGGAACACCGGUGGCGAAGGCGGGUCUCUGGGCAGUAACUGACGGCUGAGGAGCGAAAGCGUGGGAGCAAACAGGAUU
rnacentral:rRNA from 1 species